rnacentral:rRNA from 1 species
GGAAUUAUUGGGCGUAAAGAGCUUGUAGGCGGUUUGUCGCGUCUGCUGUGAAAGCCCGGGGCUUAACCCCGGGUCUGCAGUGGGUACGGGCAGGCUAGAGUGUGGUAGGGGAGACUGGAAUUCCUGGUGUAGCGGUGGAAUGCGCAGAUAUCAGGAGGAACACCGAUGGCGAAGGCAGGUCUCUGGGCCACUACUGACGCUGAGAAGCGAAAGCGUGGGGAGCGAACAGGAUUAGAUACCCUGGUAGUCCACGCCGUACACGUUGGGCGCUAGGUGUGGGUCCCAUUCCACGGGGUCCGUGCCGCAGCUAACGCAUUAAGCGCCCCGCCUGGGGAGUACGGCCGCAAGGCUAAAACUCAAAGGAAUUGACGGGGGCCCGCACAAGCGGCGGAGCAUGCGGAUUAAUUCGAUGCAACGCGAAGAACCUUACCAAGGCUUGACAUGUACCGGAAACCUCCAGAGAUGGGGGCCCCGCAAGGUCGGUACACAGGUGGUGCAUGGUUGUCGUCAGCUCGUGUCGUGAGAUGUUGGGUUAAGUCCCGCAACGAGCGCAACCCUCGUUCUAUGUUGCCAGCACGUGAUGGUGGGGACUCAUAGGAGACUGCCGGGGUCAACUCGGAGGAAGGUGGGGAUGACGUCAAAUCAUCAUGCCCCUUACGUCUUGGGCUUCACGCAUGCUACAGUGGCCGGUACAAAGGGUUGCGAUACUGUGAGGUGGAGCUAAUCCCUUAAAGCCAUUCUCAGUUCGGAUUGUAGGCUGAAACUCGCCUACAUGAAGCUGGAGUUACUAGUAAUCGCAGAUCAGAAUGCUGC